CAUCAUUGGAUCCAAAGCAAUAAAUAUUUGGCUGGAUCAGAGGAGAAAAGCAAUUCUUCUGUGUUCUGAGACCUUCUCUAUUCCAUAGUUUUCAAAGAUAAUCGGCAGUGGCUCCAAGGUAGCUUUGUCUGGCCAGAUACUUCAGAGAGACCGUAUUAGAUUCGUUGAGCUCCAAAAACAAAGAAUUUUAAGAUUUCCUUUCUUGUUUUGAAUUCCAGAGACUAAGCCAGUACCUUUCAGUGAACUCAACAGAUUGAACAAGACAAGUGUAAGUGGUUUUCCAGAUCUACUUUUAUUCGCAUAGUUCUUCCCUGAACGCUUUCCAAACUUCACAUGUCUCAAAUCUAAAUUUGCUGAAUAAAUGUCAAGCAGCUAAAUCCGAGCAAUGCUGCUAAAGGACUUGACUCGCACCCUUCUGGUGACUGGUUAC
rnacentral:lncRNA from 1 species